AGUCAGGCCUACCCCUGGAUUUCAGAGUGGCGUCAAAUUCUCCUGCGUCCUGUGAUAUGCAUGAUACAGACCUAAAUGAAACUGGCAUUCUCUUGGGAAGGAAGAGUGGAGAAUGGGUGCUGGAUUGCAACUAACGGCAUCUACUACACUUUCCAGCAGAUCUGCAUUGUAAGAAAAAUGAGAAGAAUUCCUUCAGGAAGAAGAAAAAUGAUACCAGAUGGAUAUGUGGAUCCACAUAAAGGAACGAAGAGCACAGGAAAUAGUAACUAUACUGGUUUCCUUCGUCAGUCCAGGCAGGACUGUGCGGUUGGAAAAGGGACGGAUGCUGGUCCUGGAAGGGGCGUCGUUAUCUAGAAGCUCCCAACCUAAGUGGGUGACUCAUAGGGAGGGCAAGGAGAGAAGGACACAGCAAGCAACUUACAUGUAAAACAAGACGUGUGGGUUAUUAUGGAAGAAAUUCACAACCAAACUUGGGGUUAGCCCGUAUUGUUUUCCAAGAACUCUAUGUGGACAGUGACAAAAAACAGACCUAAGAACUAGCAGACUGGGCAAAGCUUUUUCACAUAACAACAACAAAAAAAGCAAUUCCUCAGGAAAAAAUGGUCAAUGGGUCAUUGUGUGUAGACAAAACUACAAGUUCUGCUCCAGACUCUGGGGAAACCAUGCUGCCAUCUUCAAGCUGUGGCCAUUCUGUAAUACAGACUACGCUAAAUCACAUGUUGUCAUCAAGGCAGAAUAUUUUGUUCCUUUAUGGGUCAGCCUGGGAUACAAAAUUAGAGAAACUUUGCAAUGAAAAAUCCCUUGUGUCUCAUUGAACUUUUUCCUUAAUUCAAACCUUUCCUUUCACAGUUUUGAUUAGUGCCUUUGCCCAUGUGGACAAUAUUUUAUGAUCAGGUUUUAAGAGUAAUCCAUCCAUGGCUGCUUGGCUGCCUGGAACUUAAAACAACGACAACAACAAUGUCCAGAUAAACCCAAUAAAAUAGGUUUUUAAAUGUG
rnacentral:lncRNA from 1 species